ACCUAAUUACUUCACUUGAUCCCAUCGGAAAAGCUAUGGUCGCCGGCGCCGGGAAAUCGUCCGCCACCAAGAACUCCGGAAACUCGCCUGCGCUGAUUUCAACCGUCGUGAAUUCCAAAAAACGAAAAUCCGACAGAAACCCAACAAAUGUACCAGUUCGUCUGAAUGAGCCACUGUUUCGCCGUCUCUCUGCCGCCGCCGCCGUGACACGCUCCUUUCUCGAAACCAACGAUCUCUUCCUCCCUCCAUCUCAAUCUCUCCGCCUCGAAUCACUCCUCUCAUCUCUCCCAAUCGCUCCUCCUUCACCUUCCACCUCCGCUUCCACGUGGUUCCACCGCUUCUUAAUCUCCGCCGUCGAAGACGACGAUCCUCGCUGGUAUCUUUGUUUCCGAAUGUCGAAAUCCACUUUCCUCCAUCUACUCUCCAUCCUUUCACCUUCCGAUUCUCCUCCGUCGCUUCCUUCAUCCUCCCUCGCCGCUGCAAUCUUCCGUCUCGCUCACAACGCUUCCUACAAAUCUCUCGUUCUCCGAUUCGGGUUCGACUCCAUCCCCGACGCUUCCCGCGCUUUCUUCACCGUCUGUAAGCUCAUCAGUGAGAAGUUAGGGAAAAUCGAUGAUCCCAAACCUGAUUUUUCGCCUCGAUUGCUCCCGAAUUGCUGCGGUGUGUUGGGUUUCGGGAGAUUCGAGGUAGAUGGGAAGCUUCUUGGGUCAAAAGGGUCAGUGAUUGUUCAAGCAUUGGUUGAUUCCAGUGGCAGAUUCUCAGAUAUCUCUGCUGGGUGGCCAAGCACGAUGAAACCAGAAGCCAUUUUCCGGCAAACGAAGCUUUUCUCGAUUGCAGAAGAAACGGAAUCGGAAUCUGGAAGCUUUUUGAAUGGAUCUCCGUGCAAACUUGUGAACGGAAUAUCGGUGCCUCCUUACGUUCUUGGAGAUUCUUGUCUUCCGCUAUUGCCAUGGCUUGUGAUUCCUUAUAAUUCAAACGAGGAAGAAGACAGCUUAGAAUCGUCUCGUGCUGAAUUCAACAAUGUGGUUCACACUGCAUUGCGUAAUGUUGAGAUUGCAUUUGCUAAAGUUCGAGCUCGGUGGCAGAUUCUUGAUAGGAAAUGGAAGCCAGAGACAAUCGAGUUUCUGCCUUUUGUCGUUACUACGGGCUGCUUGUUGCAUAACUUUCUUGUGGAUUCUGGAGAUGAUGAUUUGCCGGAGGAUUGGGUGAAUGGUGUUGCUGGUGAUAAUGGUGAGAUGAGUAAAGAUGAAGAAGGUGAGGAGGAGAUGAGGCGGUUUGAAGGAGAAGCCUUUACUGGGUCAAGGAGGAUCAGAAAUGCUAUUGCAGAGAACCUGAGCCACGUGAUUCAACUAAGAUAAACUGAAAACCUCACAAAAGAGACGAGGAGGAAAACCAAUCAAACCAAUUCAAAAAGUUCGGCAAAUGCGAUGGAUGGCAGUUGGAGGACGAGGACAGGACUGGACGAGGAUGUCAUGGUUUCUUACAAAGACUCCAUUUUCCAAAAAGACCUAAGCAGGAUGAGAUGGUUUCAUCAGAGGAUUAAGCAGCUCAUCUACUGCAGCGGCAUCUAAGCAAAACACAUCGUUGGAGACCAUAACUUCAUGACAUAUUCGUUGAAAGCUGUCAAUCAGCUCGGUGAAUAGUAACACUGCGAGCAUUUUUCAUAGAAGCUUUGAGGUAUGAUUGCACCUGUGAUUAAAAUAUUUGGUUCAAUGCUCAUAAGAUCCACGUGGAACCUCAGUUGUCACCGUGGAGGUUAAAGAUUCUUUAUUCAGCUAUCGAAUGCUUCUUAUGAUCACAAGUGUCCCAAGGAACUUCUGAUCCUAACAUAUUUUAUUACAUAAAAACACUUCAUUUGCAGUAUUU